ensembl:lncRNA
AAAACAUAAUAAAAAUAUCAAGAUGUCCCUUAUUCUUUUGUUUCUAUUUCUAAACUCCUACAAGUGACAUACAAUGUAUAAUAUUACAAUUAAUAAUAUACACUUUCUUUCUUUUUUUUUUUUUUCUGGAGACAGGAUCUCGGGUAGCUCAGGCUGGCCUUUUUUAUUUUUUCUUUCUUUCUUUUUUUUUUUUCUUUUUUUCCGGAGUUGGGGACCAAACCCAGGGCCUUGCGCUUGCUAGGCAAGCGCUCUACCACUGAGCUAAAUCCCCAACCCCUAGCUCAGGCUGGCCUUAAACUGGUUAUGUAACCCACCACAACCUUGACCUUCUUCUGAUCCUCCUGCCUCCCCACCUGCCCAGUGCUGGGAUUAAGGUUCUUACCACCACGCUUGAUGUUUGCUCUAAUUAUUUUAAAAGCAACUUCAAAAUGUAAAUAUAAUUCACAAAAAGAAACAAUGUAUCUCAAGGGAAGAAAAAAGCAAAGGAACCAUCCUGCCAUUCCGGAGCUUUGCUGGUGGCAGAGUCCGGUGGGCUCCACCCACAGAGCUUUCAUGGUGGACACUUGAGCCGAGCUCCAGCACUACCUGGCUUUGUCUUUCCCUUCCUUCAUAGGUUGUCAUACAAGUUGAGCGUUAUUUGGUGUUUGUAUUUGUGUUCAAACACCCACAUGGACUAAGCGUCCCCUCCACUGUUAAGCAAGCAGCACAGUGGCAUUAAGCUCGCCUCCCUCCAUGCAGCUGUCACCUCCAUCCAUCCCAGAUGAGAUGAGUGUCUUUAAAAAAAACAACAACAACAAACCCCCCCCAAAAAAAACAAAAACAAAAACAAAACAAACAAACAAAAAAACCAGGGUUUGGGAUCUUACCUGUCUUGGAAUGUCCUUAGAAGGCUCUGACAUUGAACAGGUAACAGAAUAAAAAACCCAGAGUCUUUUCUUUAAAACGAAGAGGAAAAGGAUGGGGUGGAAGGAACUAUUCAAACUUCAUCUUCUUUCCUUGUGGCUCAAAGUCUCCCCUCCCUCCUCUGCUGCCUCGGAAGCCUCCUGGCCUCUUCUGCCAAAUCUGCCUCUUCUACCUCUGCCACCACAGUACUUGGUCCCCUCCCCAAGACCAGGGGACCACUAUUCUGCUGUUUUCUGUUCCCAUGAGUUUGACCAUUCUUCAUUCACAGAAGUUGGAGUUCUUUUGGUUGUGUGUGUGUGUGUGUGUGUGUGUGUGUGUGUGUGUGUGUGUGUGUAUGUGUAUUCUGCACACUUUGUGUGUGGGUGCCAAAGAAUCACCUUGGGUGUGGUUCCUCAGGAAUGUGAUCCACCUUUUCCCCCCUCUCUUCCUUCCUUCCUUCCUUC